rnacentral:misc_RNA from 1 species
AGAUUAUGAAUUUGGCAAACUUCCGUGUUUAUUCAAUACCAACACCAAGUCCGAGCUACAUUUUUGACAGUAGCUAAAAAUGCCCUUAAUGGAUUAGCUCUAUAUCGCUUGAAAUUUCCUCAAACACCAGCAAACAAGUAACCACGAUGCAAUAAGAAACAAAUCGAGAAGAUCAUGUGAAAGCGAUAAUGCGAAAGAAUGAUCAGAAGAAGAAAAACGGAAAAAGAAGAAUUAGCAUACUAGAGAGAGCGAGAACCCUA